CAAGUUUGCCUGCUCCACUGGUGCUGUGUACCUCCAGGGCGUAGGAAGACUUGAUGGAACAAAUGAAUGAAUGGAAACACUACAGUCAUUGUCAUGUGAACACACUUGAGCUAGCCUGGUAGAAAAACCUGGACCCACCACCUCUGGAACCCCAGCUGACUAUUAACCAAUGGUCCACAACAACUUGCAGACAACUGUGAAUGAGGCUAUCUCAGACUAUCCAGCCAAACCUGCCCAGACCAGAGGAAUGACCCAGGAGCACUACGAUCCUAUAAGUGGGAUUCAGUUUGUGGGGAAUAGAGGCCACGGCUUCCUGCAUGUGGAGACUGCCAUGUUUGUGCAUGACUGCAACCAGCCCAGAAGCUGUAUUUACAGGAAACACAGAGUUAAGUUUGAUGGAAACAAGCAGUAAUGUUAUCUUUUGGAAAAAAGCAAUAUUAAUACAGGAAGAUCCUGAUAUAA